GAUCUGGCUCAGGAUGAACGCUAGCUACAGGCUUAACACAUGCAAGUCGAGGGGCAGCAUGUAUCUGGCUUGCCAGAUACGAUGGCGACCGGCGCACGGGUGAGUAACGCGUAUCCGACCUGCCGCACACUCCGGGAUAGCCUUGCGAAAGCAAGUUUAAUACCGGAUGCCGUAAGGACGCCGCAUGGUGUUUUUACGAAAGGGGUUUACCGGUGUGCGAUGGGGAUGCGUCCCAUUAG
rnacentral:rRNA from 1 species